GCUUAGUGGUAGAGUGCUCCUGGAUUAAAUCACCAGCCCUGGAAAAAAAUAAAACAAAUGUAUAUCAGAAGAUGAAAUAGGCAGAGCGGUUUAGUUGAUCGUUGGGAUAGUAUUAUUUUUGCUUGAUGCAGGGACUGCAUCUCUACUGAACGCUGGUGUGGUGGUCGGAGAUGGGCCUAAGACUUCUGUAUUGGGUAGAAGAAAAUGGCCGGAACCAAGCGACUGCUGGGUGAAGAAAGCGCAUCACUACAGGCCCGGUACUGUGGUGCUUCGAGAGAUUUGUCGUUACCAGAAAUCCACCGAGCUUCUCAUUUGGAAGCUGCCUUCCCAGAGGAUGAAUGAGAAAAGUGACUGUUCACAGACCUCAGUGACAGAAGCACUGUUGCCCAGGAGGGACAGUUGCUGAUAUGCAGAAGGGAUGGGUGAUGUUUCUUGCUUCUCAUGAUGCAUGUUUCUGUAUGUUAAUGGCUUGUUGGGUAGCUAUUAAGGUACUAGAAUUGAUAAAUGUGUACCGGGUCCUUUCACAAUAAAACUGGUUAUGACUCGAUCUAAGUAUUUAACA